rnacentral:ncRNA from 1 species
AAAGCGGCCUGUAAACCAGGACGGUGGGUUGGCCUAGCAAUACCGCUAGUCGGGGCUCACGCCCCGGCGACAUCCCUAAAGUGCGGGAACUCCCUGAAGCCUGCAGCGACCAAGCCGCCCUAGAAAUAGAGGCGGUGGCCGAGAGUAACUACCUCGGGUAUGGUAACACUGCUGCAGGAUUGGGUAACUCGCAGCCAAGGCCCUCCGCGAGGUGGGCAAGGUUCAGAGACUAGAUAGGGGUGGGCUUACCCUGUAGCUACCUACCCGGUAGCUACCCGGUAGGCCUAAGAUAUAGUCCGUCCGCCAGCGAAAGCUUCAG